UGGCAACCAAAAUCCAACGUCUGAUGGACGUCAUAGUGGUAACGUCCACACAACAUCAAGCUGUAACACCAUUAGACGUUGAUUUUUGUCCAACACAAAACAAAUGGUUAAAAUAUUCUACUACAAGCUAAAUUUUUGCAUUUGGCUUUGUGUCAGUCUCUCUCUUUUUGUUUUUUUUUGUUUUUGUUUCUGUGUUUACACACAAAUAAAUACUAUUGUAAUUUUUCAUAGAAAUGAUGGUGAUGAUGUUUUUGAACCAAGCUAUAGUAAAUUGUAUUAUACUAUAUGUUAUUUGCAACACUUUAUUAAAAAAUGCUAAAGCAUGCUGUAAGUAUUAAGUACUCGUAAACUGAUGAACUAAUUAAUACUGUAGUAAACUGUAGGUUUUUUUAGCCUAUCAAAUAUAGAUAAUUUACAGCAGUUUAUAAGUAACAAAAAUACACUAUUAUUUCAGAUUUAAUGCCAAGUGAAAACCAGAACUGAUUUUAAUAUUUUAAAGUUCUCAGAAUGGUAUAUAAAACAGUUUAAUAGUAGUUUUGCAAUUGUGCAACUUAUUUUUGUCUAGAAAGUCUUAUGCUACAUUGUGUUGUGACGACCCCUUGUGGUUGUUUGUGGCUGGGGUGUGGGUGUGUGUGUGUUGCAGGUCCAGCUGAUAGCGCCGGGAUUGAGAACACCGGUUUGUGAUUUAGUUGCUCUGCUAUAAAUAGCGUGUCUGUUUCAGACGAGGAGCGAGGAGGCUGUUCGUGGAAUCUGGUAACUUACUUUUCGUCUGGGAUCGAUCUUGGACCGGAGUGGGCUAGCAACAUGACCUUCGAUAAUAAAGAGUGAAGAUGCACUCGCUCUGACAAGAUCUGUUUCCACUGAGAUGCUUCAACAAAACCGCUUCAACCAACUGAAAGAACAAAUUAUGUGGAUUAAAUUUAAUGGCCAUAAAUACAACAUGUAUUUAAGUUCAACUAUAAUUUUACAUAUAUACAAUUACUCUGUUAAUGGUUUUUCAAAUAAUGAAUAGCUGCAACUCAAGUUUUUCAGAAGAACCAAAGUUCUACCAGCUUAAUAAAAAGCACUAAAGGUGUGAGAUGAUGUU